rnacentral:rRNA from 1 species
GAGUUUGAUUCGGCUCAGAUUGAACGCUGGCGGCAUGCUUUACACAUGCAAGUCGAACGGGGUUGGAGCUGCUCCAAUCUAGUGGCGAACGGGUGAGUAAUAUAUCGGAACAUGUCCGGAAGUGGGGGAAACGUAGCGAAAGUUACGCUAAUACCGCAUAUGCCCUGAGGGGGAAAGGAGGGGAUCGUAGACCUUUCGCUUUCGGAGUGGCCGAUAUCAGAUUAGCUAGUUGGUGAGGUAAUGGCUCCCAAGGCGACGAUCAGUAGCUGGUUUGAGAGGACGACCAGCCACACUGGGACUGAGACAGGCCCAGACUCCUACGGGAGGCAGCAGUGGGGAAUUUUCCGCAAUGGGCGAAAGCCUGAGGAGCAAUACCGCGUGAGGGAUGAAAGCCUGUGGGUUGUAAACCUCUUUUCUCAAGGAAAA